rnacentral:rRNA from 1 species
GAUGAACGCUGGCGGCGUGCCUAAUACAUGCAAGUCGAGCGAACAGACGAGGAGCUUGCUCCUCUGACGUUAGCGGCGGACGGGUGAGUAACACGUGGAUAACCUACCUAUAAGACUGGGAUAACUUCGGGAAACCGGAGCUAAUACCCGAUAAUAUAUUGAACUUCAUUGUUCAAUAGUUAAAGACGGUUUUGCUGUCACUUAUAGAUGGAUCCGCGCCGCAUUAGCUAGUUGGUAAGGUAACGGCUUACCCAGGCGACGAUGCGUAGCCGACCUGAGAGGGUGAUCGGACACCCUGGAACUGAGACACGGCCCAGACUCCUACGGGAGGCAGCAGUAGGGAAUCUUCCGCAAUGGGCGAAUGCCUGACGGAGCACCGCCGCGUGAGUGAUGAAGGUCUUCGGAUCGUAAAACUCUGUUAUUAGGGAAGUACAAAUGUGUAAGUACCUAUGCACGUCUUGACGGUACCUAAUCAGAAAGCCCCGGCUAACUCCGUG